rnacentral:rRNA from 1 species
UACGUAGGGUGCAAGCGUUGUCCGGAAUUAUUGGGCGUAAAGAGCUCGUAGGCGGUUUGUUGCGUCGGCUGUGAAAUCCCGAGGCUCAACCUCGGGUCUGCAGUCGAUACGAGCAAACUAGAGUGUUGCAGGGGAGACUGGAAUUCCCGGAGUAGUGGUGAUAUGCGUAGAGACCGGGAGGAACACCGGUGGCGAAGGCGAUUCUCUGGGCUACUCCUGACACUCAGGGACGAAAGCGUGGGGGAGGCGAACCGGA